AUGCAGCACGUGGCAUCAGACGGCACCCAUGUACCUGCCAUCGACGUCAUACAUAGUACCCCGGCAAACAUCUCGUGGCAAGCUUCACAGAUUGCAGAUAGAGCACGUCAAUUUGGUGUGACAGACCACACAAGAUGGGCACAUGUAGCACAACAAGCUAUAGUGAACAGCAGCGCGGGGACAUCUACUGCGGGGAGCUCUGAGCGCAUGGAAGACAUAUUCCACCAGCCAGCCGACAAUCAUGCCUCAAACAAUGUCGAGUCAGAGUCGGAAAUGGCAAUCAUUCCAGCAAUGCCGACAAGCACCCCUUUGAACACAAGCACUGGCAACACUCCAGUAGAUGAAACUGCCGCCGAUACUGAAGUGAAUGAUGAAACUGAUGACGAAGCACAAGGGGAUGAAGAUGGUGGGCAAUCAGAGAUCGUGGUACCUCAGCCACCGUACGUUGGGCAGAGAUUUGAAUCGUUCGAAGAAGCAAAGGAAUUCUACCAGACAUAUGCAAAGUUCCAUGGGUUUGCGGUCAACACCGAAUACCAUAGGAAAAUUAAGAAAACUAACAAGUACAGCAGAGGUGAGAUGAGGUGCCACAAGGCACGAAGGAACAAGAAGUAG
rnacentral:rRNA from 1 species